UUAUUAAAUCUUACCCUGGAAUGUUUCACUUGUGUAACUUGUUGCCUUUCAGCCGUGCUUCCUACUCAUUCCAAAUGACCCAUUUUAUUAUUUGUUAAUUUACUGUCUUCUGAACUCAGCUAUGACUACCUAUACUGCUUGCUUAGUUUUAGUUUCCAUUGUAGUGAUGUAUGUUCUUGGAUGAAGUCCCUUGUUCAGGACACUUCGCAAGGUAACCUGUCCACGCU